rnacentral:misc_RNA from 1 species
GGCACGGACCACAAUCGACGACGAAUCGGGCGAUCCAGCCAUGACGACCUCGGCGAUCACGGGUUCCACGAUCGCCGGGGAGGGGACGAGCGCCAUCGGCUAGGGUUAGGGUUUGCUACUCGCCGUACUUGCGGCGGAGGUACUGGCGGACGAUCUCGGCGCGGGCUUGGGUGCGGGCUUGCUGGGGGGCGACGUUGACGUAUGAGAGGUGGGCGCCGACGGCGAACAGGACGACACCGGUGGCGAAGAGGCCGA